UAUGAGCGCAACAUCCCGCCGAGGGACAAAUACAGAGCCAUUACAGGAAAGGGCAAUAUAAGACGUAGUCACAGGUUUAAAAACAAUCUUAGUUCCUGAUGCAGUCUGAAAUCCAGCAGCAUAUAUCAGUGGAUGACUCCCCCAUGCCCUCCUAAACAUCAAAAAGAAAAGCCAACAGAGCAGGAAAUUCAGCUCCAGCCAUUUCUAGCAACUUUCCCCAUGGGUUCCAUUGCACUCUGCUCUUUGCCUUAGAAGAUGUUUUGUUCAAGAUGGUUUUGCCUUUUAUGUAUCGGUCCCAGGAGGAAGACAGUAUCCAGGUCUCCAAGGAAAGCAACUUGAAAUUCCGACCCACAAACACUGCAUUUUGAGUGAAAGUGGAAUUCAGGUCAUUAUUUUAUGAUUCUCAUUGCUUAUGUGCAAUAAUGAACUUGGACUAAGCUGUUCAUAUUGUCAUCUCUUCAGUUAAAGUACAUACAUCCGUAGGAGACAAGGAAGCAGGAUGGAGCCAGGAGACCUGGAGGAGGCACAUGGAGCCGAGAGACACAGAAAACAUUUGAAGCCUGAAGAAAGAAAUCAACGCCAGACACUUGAUCUCCCAGCUGACCAGGGGAGAUGUGGCCGAUCCCUCAGAAUGGAGUCUGCCUCUCCUGCCCGGAUGGCUCUUUUCUGCCUGAUUUUUGUGUACAGGAGAGAAAUGCCAAGGAGACAUAUUUCUGGAUAAUGAGUCCAUCCUCUGAGGAUAGGAAGAAGGGAGAUGGGAGCAAAUUUCUAACAGAAUGCAGGCAGCGGAGGACAGAGAAUCUCGCCAACAUAUGUGUGGACGUGAUGCACCACCUCCAUUUGUUUUGUGGAAAUUGAAGUUAGGAAAAAGUUUGUCACUCUGGCUGGGACCUCAGCUAUGUACUAGGCUUGUAUUGUCAAUACCUGGCGACAACUCGGACCAUGUGGAUACAACCAAAUGGAGAGACAGCAGGUCUGGAUUAAACAAUGCAGUCUGGAAAAUCAUUCUUUCCAACAAGACCUCAGUGCAAGCACAACCUCUGUUGUGAAGUGAGACACUCCAAAAGGGAGGAGAGUUCCAUGACUUCCCUCUGCAACUGAGGCGUAUUCGGUAUAACAAAAGCUACUCUUUUAAAUGUGACAAUUCACAAAAGGGCAUUACAAGAUUGAGAUCCUGUGUGUAAAAGUGUUUUCAACUUGUUCUGGAAGAAGAAUGAAUUUCUUGGCUGCGAUAGUUGUUCCCAGGAACUAUCACUUUUCUUGGCUGUUAAAUGUAUCUAACUGAUUUGUGUCACCAAGUGUAAGUCAUCCAAAGCCAUAACAAAGAUCACAGUACAUGAGGUAACCCAAGGAUCCCGCUCUCUGAACCCAGCACCUCUCCAAACAUACCUCACCCCAGCACCACAGAGUGCCUGUGAGCACGUGGGCAGCCUGGAGGCCACACUGAGCACACCCAGGCUAAUGAAAUCUUCUCCAUCUUGCUCCUGAAGUUCAUUCAAUCAAUGCAAAUCUGAAGCCUCCAGAAUCCUCGCAUUCCUUGACCUUUCAAAGCCCAUAUUCUGAUGAGGUGACCCAAGAAUAAAAGGAGGAGAGGAUGUUUGUAAACUUGAUGCCUGUUUGCUCAUGAGAAGUCAUGCUGUCUUUGACAUCUGAUCCACUGCCCCGCUGAAUAAAGACACGGGGCUAGAGCACCUGUCCAAGUUUGCUUUGCUUCUUUGGAGGGACUUAGGGAGAGCAAAGCACAUCUAUUGAAAGUGUGGGUUCCAAUCAUCUACACUGGUUCCAAGUGGAUGCAUUCUGUCUUUCAGAUUCAAUUGGAAAGUUGCGAAAAACUGGUUAAAUCUAAAAACCAUGAAAACUCCAAAUUGAGCUAGUGAGAAGGGAGAGGCAUGGCUCUGUAUAUUUGCCAGCAGGGAACAGUUUUUUCAGCAAAAUUUUGCUUUUCUUUUCUGUCUUGGGAAA